rnacentral:ncRNA from 2 species
UACGUAGGGGGCGAGCGUUGUCCGGAAUGAUUGGGCGUAAAGGGCGCGUAGGCGGCCCGUUAAGUCUGGAGUGAAAGUCCCGCUUUCAAGGUGGGAAUUGCUUUGGAUACUGAUGGGCUUGAGUGCAGGAGAGGAAAGCGGAAUUACCGGUGUAGCGGUGAAAUGCGUAGAGAUCGGUAGGAACACCAGUGGCGAAGGCGGCUUUCUGGACUGAAACUGACGCUGAGGCGCGAAAGCGUGGGGAGCAAACAGG